rnacentral:rRNA from 1 species
AACGAACGCUGGCGGCAGGCCUAACACGUGCAAGUCGAGCGAGAUCUUCGGGUCUAGCGGCGGACGGGUGAGUAACGCGUGGGAAUAUGCCUCUUGGUACGGAAUAGCCUCGGGAAACUGGGAGUAAUACCGUAUGUGCCCUUUGGGGGAAAGAUUUAUCGCCAAGAGAUUAGCCCGCGUUGGAUUAGGUAGUUGGUGGGGUAAUGGCCUACCAAGCCGACGAUCCAUAGCUGGUUUGAGAGGAUGAUCAGCCACACUGGGACUGAGACACGGCCCAGACUCCUACGGGAGGCAGCAGUGGGGAAUCUUAGACAAUGGGGGCAACCCUGAUCUAGCCAUGCCGCGUGAGUGAUGAAGGCCUUAGGGUUGUAAAGCUCUUUCAGCUGGGAAGAUAAUGACGGUACCAGCAGAAGAAGCCCCGGCUAACUCCGUG